rnacentral:rRNA from 1 species
AUGAACGCUGGCGGCGUGCCUAAUCCCUGCAAGUCGAGCGAACGGACGAGAAGCUUGCUUCUCUGAUGUUAGCGGCGGACGGGUGAGUAACACGUGGAUAACCUACCUAUAAGACUGGGAUAACUUCGGGAAACCGUAGCUAAUACCGGAUAAUAUUUUGAACCGCAUGGUUCAAAAGUGAAAGACGGUCUUGCUGUCACUUAUAGAUGGAUCCGCGCUGCAUUAGCUAGUUGGUAAGGUAACGGCUUACCAAGGCAACGAUGCAUAGCCGACCUGAGAGGGUGAUCGGCCACACUGGAACUGAGACACGGUCCAGACUCCUACGGGAGGCAGCAGUAGGGAAUCUUCCGCAAUGGGCGAAAGCCUGACGGAGCAACGCCGCGUGAGUGAUGAAGGUCUUCGGAUCGUAAAACUCUGUUAUGAGGGAAGAACAUAUGUGUAAGUAACUGUGCACAUCUUGACGGUACCUAAUCAGAAAGCCACGGCUAACUACGUG